AUUGAACGCUGGCGGCAGGCCUAACACAUGCAAGUCGAGCGAGCGGCGGACGGGUGAGUAAUGUCUGGGAAACUGCCGGCUGGAGGGGGAUAACUACUGGAAACGGUAGCUAAUACCGCAUACCAUCAGAUGUGCCCCGAUGGGAUUAGCUAGUAGGUGGGGGAACGGCCCACCUGGGGGACGAUCCCUAGCUUGUCUGAGAGGAUGACCAGCCACACUGGAACGGAGACACGGUCCAGACUCCUACGGGAGGCAGCAGGGGGGAAUAUUGCACAAUGGGCGAAAGCCUGAUGCAGCCAUGCCGCGGGUGUGAAGAAGGCCUUCGGGUUGUAAAGCACUUUCAGCGGGGAGGCGUUACCCGCAGAAGAAGCACCGGCUAACUCCGUGCCAGCAGCCGCGGUAAUAC
rnacentral:rRNA from 1 species